UUUUAGACUUUUUUAAAAUCAUUUGUGCUGCGUAUGAUUUGGCUGUUUCCUCUAGCAAUGAAACAGUUGUUUAUCUCCAUAUAGUAUGCUCACUUUUUGGCUGGUAAAUGUUAAAGCAAGGGUCCUGAAGUAAUCAUGUAUUAAACCCCCACAUCAUGGGUAAUCGUAAUAGUGAGAGAAACAGGAGCGUGAGUGUUGAUGAUGAUGGAAUCUAUAACCUGAAAACAUACCAUGAAAGGGUUGAAAUUCUCAGAAAAAUACGGAUACCCAGACUGGACAAUUUUGAACGCUCGACAGGAUGCUAGCUGACGAUGAACAAGACUAGACGCUUUGAGGAACUCCCUCUGCCAGACGAGCUCCCCGGCAACGGGUUUUGGGCUGGAACAGGCCCAGGACCCGGGACCAAAGGCUGAUGAAGUUUAAUCGAGGCCAGCUGCUACUAAACACAGAUUCAACAGAUGGUGUGUGGGUGCAAAGCCGCCGCUGGAUGCAAUCAGCAGUUACAUGGACGUGUAACUGCAUGUGAUACUGAG
ensembl:lncRNA